ensembl:lncRNA
CUCAGGAGAAAAUCCAGAUCUACGCGUGACACACAGACUCCCGCCCACACACACAUACACACGCACACACACACAGACACACUAACAUUUGGUUCUAAACAAAGACACACACUAAGAGUUAGACACAUUAAUAUUUAGAUGUACACACAGACACACUAACAUUUAGAUGUACACACAGACACACUAACAUUUGGUUCUAAACAAUGACACACACUAAUAUUUAGAUGUACACAAAGACACAAUAACAAUUAGAUAUACACACAAACACAAUAUCAUUUGGUUCUAAACAAAGACACACACUAAUAUUUAGAUGUACACAAAGACACACACUAAUAUUUAGAUGUACACAAAGACAUAUUAAUAUUUGGAUGUACACACAGACACACUAACAUUUGAUGCUAAACAAAGACACAUUAAUAUUUAGAUGUACACACACACUAACAAUUAGAUGUACACACAGACACACUAUCAUUUAGUUCCAAACAAUGACACACACUAAUAUUUAGAUGUACACAAAGACACAAUAACAAUUAGAUAUACAAACAGAAACACUAACAAUUAGAUCUACACACAGACGCACUAACAAUUAGAUGUACACACGGACACACUAACAAUUAGAUCUACACACAGACGCACUAACAAUUAGAUGUACACACUGACACACUAACAAUUAGAUCUACACACAGACACACUAACAAUUAGAUGUACACACAGACACAUCCUGAUGAUCCUCCUCACAUCUCUUCUCCUUGUCUGCAGACCAAUAGGACCCCAUCAGGACGCCACGUCAUCGGGACGCUACGUCAUUGGGACGCCAUCAGGACGCCACGUCAUCGGGACGCCAUCAGGACGCCACGUCAUCGGGACGCCAUCAGGAUUCCAUCAGGACGCCAUCAGAACGCCGCGUCAACCCCUCAGGAGCAAAUCCAGAUCUAAUCAUGACACACACACACACACACACACACACAGAUGUACUCAGAGACACACUAACAUUUAGACACGCUGGCAAAUUUAGAUGUACAAUUAGAUGUACACACAGACACACUAACAUUUGGUUCUAAACAAAGACACACACUAACAUUUAGAUACACUAACAAUUAGAUGUACACACAGACACAUCCUGAUGAUCCUCCUCACGUCUCUUCUCCUUGUCUGCAGACCAACAGGACGCCAUCAGGAUGCCACGUCAUCGGGGACGCCACGUCAUCGGGACGCCAUCAGGACUCCGCGUCAACCCCCUCAGGAGCAAAUCCAGAUCUAAUCAUGAAACACACACACACACACACACACAGAUGUACUCAGAGACACACUAACAUUUAGACACGCUGGCAAUUUAGAUGUACAAUUAGAUGUACACACAGACACACUAAUUAUUUGGUUCUAAACAAUGACACACACUAAUAUUUAGAUGUACACAAAGACACAAUAACAAUUAGAUAUACACACAGACACACUAACAUUUAGAUGUACACACAGACACACUAACAUUUGGUUCUAAACAAAGACACACUAAUAUUUAGAUGUGCACAAAGACAUAUUAAUAUUUAGAUGUACACACAGACACACUAACAUUUAGAUGUACACACAGACACACUAACAAUUAGAUGUAAACACAGACACACUAACAACAUUAACAUGUUAAUAACUUUUCUUCUUUUCUCUCUUCUCAGGAACUGCUUCAGAUGUUUUCCCAAUGAUUGUGUUAUUAUUAUUGUUAAAUAUGUCGUCUGUUUAUUAUUUUAACAAUGAAAAUACAUUUUAAUAAAAAUAAAACCAAAUGAAUCCAUCUUGUUUUCUUCAGACCAAAGAGAAUCACAUGUUCUUUAUUAUUCGUUGACUUGAAUGAAGUGAAACAACAAUGAUCUUG